UGUUCGGGCUUGUGCACAGGGCUGGGCUAAGGGUAGGGGAGUGCUCACCUGUCUCUACCACUUCCCGGGGAGCCAGUCCAUCCACCUUCAGAUAUAGCUGCAUGGGUCUCUCAGGUAUCCUGUUGUGCAAUGUGGGUAUCCUCUGUUGAUCAAUGAAUGUUCAUUUAGUUGUAGUGCAAAAGAGGAAAGAGAAAGGAAACAGUUCACUGUGCCAUGUUGCUGACGUCCCUUCCAAAAACUUUUUAUUUUUAAACAAUUACAGAUUCACAGAGUUGCAAAAAAAACCAAAGAGGUCCCAUAUACCCUUCACUCAUACUCAUACUCCUAACUAUAGUACACUAUCAAAACCAGGAAAUUGCUAUUGAUAAAAUCCAUAGAGCUUAUUCAGAGGUGAGGGAAGACAUUAGAAAGUAAAGAAUGUAUGAAAGUAUUAGAGGGUGCUUAUGUACUGGAACUUCUUAUAACUGUAUGCUUUAUGAGAAAGAAUUUUGUAAUAAUGGUGAUAAUGUUACAGAAUAUUGAGUACUUACUAUAUUCCAAGUGUUUUAUCUACGUGAGGAAUUUUAUUACUAUCAUUGUUGUUAUCUGUAUUUCUACUAUUAUAAGCAGGUAAUUACUGAGCAAUUAUGUAGCAAACAAUCUUCUAAGCAGUUGAUAUGUAUUAACUCAUUGAAUCCUCAUAAAAACUCUGAGGCAAGUCUAUUAUAACUCACUUUUCAGAUGAAAAAAUUUAAGCACAGAAAGGUUUAGUAAUUUGCCCAAGAUCACACAGUAAGUAGAAGAACUGGCAUUUGAACUGGGUCUGACACCAGAGCCAAUACUCCUGAUCAUCAUGUAGGUACAUAAACUUCAGUGUUUAUCGUAACCUUUCAAGGUGGGUAUUAUUAUUUCCAUUUUCUAUAUGAGGAACCUGAGGUUCAGAGAGGCUAAGCACCUUGCUCAAGACCCUACAAAACUAACAAGUGCUGGAGCUCCAGUUUGAUUCCAGGCCUGGCUAGUUGCAAAACCUCCACUUUUCCUAGUUGACCAUUGCUAGGGACUGAAUGUUUGUGUCCCCCCACAAAUUCAUGUGUUGAAACCUCAUCCCCAAUGUGAUAAUGUUUGGAGAUGGGGCCUUUGAGAGAUAAUUAAGUCAUGAUGGUUGAACCCUGAUGAAUGGGAUUAGUGCCCCUAUAAAAGAGGCUCCAGAGAGAGCCCUCAUCCCUUCCAACAUGUGACAUUACAGUGAGUAGACUGCAGCCUAUGAGGAAGCAGGUUCUCACUAGCCACCAAGUCAGCCAUCACUUUGAUCUUUGACUUCCCAGUCUGCAGAGCUGUGAGAAAUAAAUUUCUGUUGUUUAUAAGCCAGCCAGUCUAUGGUAUUUUUUUAUAGCAGCUGGAACGGACAAAACAACCGUGCUGCCUCCCUGGCCUAUAAUACAGAUCUCUGCUGGACCUCUGUGAUAUUGUGGUUUGUAUUAAGAAAUAUAUAUUUGGUCUUCCUCCACCGUUUCAGGUACAUAACUCCUAAAACCUUUGUAGUUUUCUAAGUGAUAAGAGUCACAGGAGCAUCUUUCCUUCACUGCUUCUGAAAUAGCUCCAGGGUGAAAUGGGUAUCCUUUGUUAUUCAUAACAAGCCUCUUGUUUGUUUGUUUUGCUGAAGAAGAUUUGCCCUGAGCUAACAUCUGUUGCCCAUCUUCCUCUUUUUGCUUGAGGAAGAUUCGCCCUGAACCAACAUCUGUGCCAAUCUUCCACUAUUUUGUCUGUGGGUUACUGCCACAGCGUGGACGCCAAUGAGUGGUGUAGGUGUGUUCCUGGGAACCGAACCCAGGCUGCCAAAGUGGAGCGCACCGAACUUUACCACUAGGCUAUGGGACCGGCCCCAUAACAAGCCCCUUUUAACCACGCCUGAGUUUAUGUUAAUACAUGAAUUUGAAAAGCCUGUAAGGGUAGGGGGGCUGGUUGCCAGGUGAACCAGCCAUGUGACUAGAGGGUUGGAACUUUUAGUCCCAUCCCCCAACCCCCUGGGGAGGGAGAGGGACUGGAGGUUGACUCAGUGGCCAAUGAUUUACAUCAAUCAUGCCUACUAAACGAAGCCUCCAUAAAACCCCCAAAAGGACAGGUUCGAAGAGCUUCAGGGUUGCUGGACACGUGGAGGUGCUGAGAGGGUGGUGCACCCGGGGAAGGCAUAGAAGCUCUGUGCCUUUCUGCAUACCUCACCCUACACAUCUCUUCUGUCUGGCUAUUCCUGAGUUAUAUCCUUUUAUAAUAAACAGAUUUGUUUGCCUGAUUUUGAACUCUGCAUAAUGAAAUGGCUUCUUUUACUCAACAUCAUGUUGCUGUCUUAGAAGUGAAGAAUGGAACAGUGCUGUGUGGGAAGGGAGUCUUUGGACUCUUGAUAAAUAACAGUGCUUUUCCACAAAUGGAAAUAAAGAGAUGUCUUGGAAUAGGAGACAGAUACCACAAGACUCCAACGCUGUUAUACCAACAGGGGCUGGAUCAUUUAUAACUUCAUUUUCUGAUUUUAAGACUCUUGAUUCAACUCAUCUUCAAAGCGAAAAAGAAUAGAGGUCAUUACAAAUAUCAUAGCAAGGCUGCAAGUUAUGUGAUUUUAUGCUUGUGAGAACUAGUUUCAAAGUAACUUCUCAAUUCAAUUCUUUCAAUUCAAUUGAAAAAGAAAACUGCAUCCGAGAGGAAGGGUCAGCAUCUGAAGAGAGAUGAUUGAAGUUCUAAUGGUGGCUGUCAUGCAAA